AAAGGAGGUGUUAAUGACUCAAAUCGUGUGCCCAGUAUCCGAACACGUUUUUCUGUUUCUAGCUCCGGCAUGACCUGAAACAAGAGCAGACCCAACACAGAGUGAGGAGAGCAUUUGCAAUGGACACUCGAAUCUGCAGCUCUCUAGGCCUCCUCUCCUCUUCAAACGCCCUUCCCCUUCAUCAUCAUCCUCAUCCCAUUGACGAUUUCAAUUCUCUCUUCAAUCACCUCAACAUCCUCAUAUCCACCCCAACAAGCCCUAACCAACCCAGUCGCAAAAAAACAGAGCAAAUCAACACAACCCACAACAAUCCAUCCACUAAUCUUCGAUUCUCCUCCACCUCCGUCUCCCUCGAGACCCAAAUCCAAAACCCACAAAAACCCACUUCUCAGAAUUGGCUCAAACCCGCCGUCAGAGGUUCCCCCAAAGUCCAUGCCCUGUUCAAGACCCUCUCUGUCUUCGAACGAGCCCUCAUCGGGGCCGGCGCAGGAGGAAUCGCCGGCGCAUUCACGUACGUGUGUCUUCACCCACUCGACACCAUCAAGACAAAGCUCCAAACCAAAGGGGCUUCUGAGAUUUACGACGGUGCUUUCGAUGCCAUCGUCAAGACCUUCAAGAACAAGGGUGUUCUGGGUUUUUAUAGUGGUGUUUCGGCCGUGAUUGUUGGAUCUACGGCUUCUUCUGCUGUGUAUUUUGGGACUUGUGAGUUUGGGAAGUCGAUUUUGUCGAAAUGGCCUCAGUACCCAUCUGUGCUUAUCCCUCCUACUGCUGGUGCAAUGGGGAAUAUCGUGUCGUCGGCGAUAAUGGUGCCGAAGGAAUUGAUCACUCAGAGAAUGCAGGCUGGUGCAAAGGGAAGAUCUUGGGAGGUUUUGCUAAGAAUUCUUGAGAAAGAUGGUGUUUUGGGGUUGUAUGCUGGUUACUCUGCUACACUGUUGAGAAAUUUGCCUGCUGGUGUAUUGAGUUAUUCCUCGUUUGAGUACUUGAAAGCCGCGGUAUUGAGUAGAACCAAGCAAGCUAAUUUGGAACCAUUUCAGAGUGUUUGUUGUGGUGCAUUGGCGGGUGCGAUAUCAGCGUCUCUGACUACCCCAUUGGAUGUGGUUAAAACUAGAUUGAUGACUCAGGUUCAUGGGGAUGCUGUAAAUAAGGUUGCUGCUACUAUGUAUAGUGGGGUUAGAGCUACUGUGAAGCAGAUUUUGAAGGAAGAAGGGUGGGUGGGAUUGACUCACGGAAUGGGGCCUCGGAUUACUCACAGUGCGUGCUUUUCAGCAUUGGGAUACUUUGCAUUUGAGACGGCGAGGCUUACGAUUUUGGAUCAGUAUCUCAAACACAAGGAGUCUGCUGAGUUGUCUGCGGUUUCAACUUGAUUCAAUGGGUUGGAGGUGUGGGCAACCAUUCCUGGCUGUGAAGUGUGGAUUGCACAUGUGAGUAUGACACCUACCAAGAAAAGUACUCCAUACAAACUGAAUGGCUGUGAGUAGGAUGGCUUUGAAGUACCUGCAACAGAUUGGAAGGAUGUAAUUGGGCUGUGCUUAAUUUUCAUUCACUUCUCAUGGUGUAGACUGGUUCGGCUAACGUUAUGUUUGUUUUGACGAAAAAUAUUUUCUACCAACUUUUGUCCCCCAUCAAAUACUUUCUAUAGAAAACAUUUUUCUA